rnacentral:snoRNA from 1 species
AUAUGAUGAAAAACUUUCGCUGGCACCAGUCCUAGAAAGACUUGUACUCUGUUUGCUGCGGACAACCCCCUGGCUUAAAAAAAGCCGUUUAUCUGAU